rnacentral:rRNA from 1 species
GACGAACGCUGGCGGCGUGCCUAAUACAUGCAAGUCGAACGCAGUGGGGACGGGUGAGUAACACGUGGGUAACCUCCCAUCAGAGGGGAUAACACUUGGAAACAGGUGCUAAACCGAUACUGAUGGAUGGACCCGCGGUGCAUUAGCUAGUUGGUGAGGUAACGGCUCACCAAGGCCAGGAGGAAUAGCAGACCUGAGAGAGUGAUCGGCAACACUGGGACUGAGACACAGCCCAGAGUAAUAAGGAGGGAAGCAGUAGGGAAUGUUGGGCAAUGGACGAAAGUCUGACCGAGCAACGCCGAGUGAGUGAAGAAGGUUUGCGGAUCGUAAAACUCUGUUGUUAGAGAAGCCGUAUCUAACCAGAAAGCCACGGGUAACUACGUGCCAGCAGUCGCGGUAAUAC